GACGAACGCUGGCGGCGUGCUUAACACAUGCAAGUCGAACGGAAAGGCCCUGCUUUUGUGGGGUGCUCGAGUGGCGAACGGGUGAGUAACACGUGAGUAACCUGCCCUUGACUUUGGGAUAACUUCAGGAAACUGGGGCUAAUACCGGAUAGGAGCUCCUGCUGCAUGGUGGGGGUUGGAAAGUUUCGGCGGUUGGGGAUGGACUCGCGGCUUAUCAGCUUGUUGGUGGGGUAGUGGCUUACCAAGGCUUUGACGGGUAGCCGGCCUGAGAGGGUGACCGGCCACAUUGGGACUGAGAUACGGCCCAGACUCCUACGGGAGGCAGCAGUGGGGAAUCUGGCACAAUGGGCGGAAGCCUGAGGCAGCAACGCCGCGUGCGGGAUGACGGCCUUCGGGUUGUAAACCGCUUUCGCCUGUGACGAAGCGUGAGUGACGGUAAUGGGUAAAGAAGCACCGGCUAACUACGUG
rnacentral:rRNA from 1 species